AGAGGAGUCAGAUUCUGAUUCAGAAUCUGAAUCUGAACCAAGUGAUGAGAGCGAAGAAUCAUCACCUGCAGAGAAGGAGAAGAAAAAGAAAAAAACAAAAACAACA